GGAGAAUUAGGGUUCGAUUCCGGAGAGGGAGCCUGAGAAACGGCUACCACAUCUAAGGAAGGCAGCAGGCGCGUAAAUUACCCAAUCCUGAUUCAGGGAGGUAGUGACAAGAAAUAACAACCUGGGGACCUCAUGGUCUUACGGGAUUGCAAUGAGAACAAUUUAAACGACUUAACGAGGAACAAUUAGAGGGCAAGUCUGGUGCCAGCAGCCGCGGUAAUUCCAGCUCUAAUAGUGUAUAUUAAAGUUGUUGCAGUUAAAAAGCUCGUAGUUGAACUUCUGGCUGUUGCUGGCGUUGGCUUCGGUCAUGCCAGUAGCGGUCAUCCGUCUGCAAACUGCAUUAGCACUUCAGUGGGCUGUGUAGGGAGUAGACAUUUUACCUUGAAAAAAUUAGAGUGUUUCAGGCAGGCCUUUGCCCGAAUACAUUAGCAUGGAAUAAUGGAAUAGGACUCGUCCUUUUUGUUGGUUAUUGGUUACGAGUAAUGAUUAAUAGGGACAGUUGGGGGCAUUAGUAUUUAAUUGUCAGAGGUGAAAUUCUUGGAUUUAUUAAAGACUAACUUAUGCGAAAGCAUUUGCCAAGGAUGUUUUCAUUAAUCAAGAACGAAAGUUAGGGGAUCAAAGACGAUCAGAUACCGUCCUAGUCUUAACUAUAAACUAUACCGACUCGGGAUCGGCCGGGCUUUUACCUCGGUCGGCACCGUAUGAGAAAUCAAAGUCUUUAGGUUCUGGGGGGAGUAUGGUCGCAAGGCUGAAACUUAAAGGAAUUGACGGAAGGACACACCAGGUGUGGAGCCUGCGGCUUAAUUUGACCCAACACGGGGAAACUUACCAGGUUAAAACAUCGUUGGGAUUGACAGAUUGAGAGCUCUUUCUUGAUUCGAUGGGUGGUGGUGCAUGGCCGUUCUUAGUUGGUGGAGUGAUUUGUCUGGUUAAUUCCGUUAACGAACGAGACCUUAACCUGCUAACUAGUUCCUUGGUUCUUACUGGGGUAACUUCUUAGAGGGACUAUGGGAAGGAAGCCCAUGGAAGUUUGAGGCAAUAACAGGUCUGUGAUGCCCUUAGAUAUCCUGGGCCGCACGCGCGCUACAAUGACACUUGCAGAAAGUUCUAUCCUGGCUCGGAAGAGUUCGGGUAAUCUUCUUAGUGGGUGUCGUGUUAGGGAUCGAUCUUUGGAAUUAUAGAUCUUGAACGAGGAAUAUCUAGUAUGUGCAAGUCAUCAGCUUGUACAGAUUAUGUCCCUGUCUUUUGUACACACCGCCCGUCGCUGCUACCGAUCGAGUGGUCCGGUGAACCUUUUGGAUUGAGUGUUGCCUCGUGUGACAUUUGAGAAGUUAAGUAAACCUUAUCACUUAGAGGAAGCAGAAGUCGUAACAAGGUU
rnacentral:rRNA from 1 species